rnacentral:rRNA from 1 species
CCUACGGGAGGCAGCAGUGAGGAAUAUUGGUCAAUGGACGAGAGUCUGAACCAGCCAAGUAGCGUGAAGGAUGACUGCCCUAUGGGUGGUAAACUUCUUUUAUAUGGGAAUAAAAUGUUCCACGUGUGGGAUGUUGUAUGUACCAUAUGAAUAAGGAUCGGCUAACUCCGUGCCAGCAGCCGCGGUAAUACGGAGGAUCCGAGCGUUAUCCGGAUUUAUUGGGUUUAAAGGGGGCGUAGGUGGAUUGUUAAGUCAGUGGUGAAAGUUUGCGGAUCAACCGUAAAAUUGCAGUUGAAACUGGCAGUCUUGAGUACAGUAGAGGUGGGCGGAAUGCGUGGUGUAGCGGUGAAAUGCUUAGAUAUCACGAAGAACUCCGAGUGCGAAGGCAGCUCACUGGACUGCAACUGACACUGAGGCUCGAAAGUGUGGGUAUCAAACAGGAUUAGAUACCCGGGUAGUC